rnacentral:rRNA from 1 species
AACCUGCCCCAGACUCUGGGAUAACAGUUAGAAAUGACUGCUAAUACCGGAUGACGUCGGAGAACCGCAUGGUUCACUGACGAAAGAUAUUUUGGUUUGGGAGGGUCUCGCGACCUAUCAGCUAGUUGGCGGGGUAAUGGCCCACCAAGGCAUCGACGGGUAGCUGGUCUGAGAGGAUGAUCAGCCACACUGGGACUAAGACACGGCCCAGACUCCUACGGGAGGCAGCAGUGGGGAAUCUUGCGCAAUGGGCGAAAGCCUGACGCAGCAACGCCGCGUGCGG